AUUGAACGCUGGCGGCAUGCCUAACACAUGCAAGUCGAGCGGAUGAAGGGAGCUUGCUCCUGGAUUCAGCGGCGGACGGGCGAGUAAUGCCUAGGAAUCUGCCUGGUAGUGGGGGAUAACGUCAGGAAACGGGCGCUAAUACCGCAUACGUUCUGAGGGUGAAAGUGGGGGAUCUUCGGACCUCACGCUAUCAGCUGAGCCUAGGUCGGAUUAGCUAGUUGGUGAGGUAAAGGCCUACCAAGGCGACGAUCCGUAACUGGUCUGAGAGGAUGAUCAGUCACACUGGAACUGAGACACGGUCCAGACUCCUACGGGAGGCAGCAGUGGGGAAUAUUGGACAAUGGGCGAAAGCCUGAUCCAGCCAUGCCGCGUGUGUGAAGAAGGUCUUCGGAUUGUAAAGCACUUUAAGUUGGGAGGAAGGGCAGUGAGUUAAUACCUUGCUGUUUUGACGUUACCAACAGAAUAAGCACCGGCUAACUUCGUG
rnacentral:rRNA from 1 species